rnacentral:lncRNA from 1 species
CGACUGCCUCUGCUGCAUCACCCGGGUUUCCAGGGAAGUGGGGGAACGCCAGCUGCCGCAGGCCUCACCAGCUCCUAAAAGAGCUUGCAGCCCAAAAGGCCAGCCUUACUCCCACACCAUAUCCCCCUAACAGCACCAAGUUUAUUUCCAAGCAGCUGGUGAGCAGGGCUGAGAAAUUGCCCCAGGCUUCAAGCCUCCCAGCUGAGAAAGCAAGCCGACUCACAGUUCCUCAGCUGUUCCAUGGACCCUGCAGCGGUAAUCCACCUCCUUCAAGGGUCUGUGCAUUCUCUCGGCUUUCCUGGUAUGUUCCUGCGGUAGUUCUUGGAGCAAAAGUUCAUGAGGAAGAGUUGAGAUCUUUGAAGCCAUGAAUAUUAAUGUAAGAAGUCCAAGGUUUCUAUGCUCCGAGGAAGGACAGGGUAUGUGAAGUACUGGUCUGGAGGACAAAGCCAAUAGAAAUCUUGCCUUCUGCCAGCAUCUGCCAACAGAUGUGUGAGUGAGCAUGCCACCACUUGACACCACUUGAUUCCUUUGCACAGAAAUUGAAGCCUCUCCAGUGAAGCUUCUGCUCUCAUGAGCAGAUGAAAAUUCUUUUUGCUUAUCUUCUGAAUUC